CCGAGUUUACAACUCCCAAACCCCUGUGAACAUACCUAUACGUUGCCUCGGCGGAUCAGCCCGCGCCCCGUAAAACGGGACGGCCCGCCGCAGGACCCACAAACUCUGUAAUUAUAUUGUAAUCUCUGAGUAUAAAAACAAAUAAAUUA
rnacentral:misc_RNA from 1 species